UACGGGGGGGGCAAGCGUUGUUCGGAAUUAUUGGGCGUAAAGGGCGCGUAGGCGGCUUGUUAAGUCGGCUGUGAAGGCCCGGGGCUCAACCCCGGAGGGUCAGCCGAUACUGGCAGGCUAGAGUACGGAAGAGGUAGCUGGAAUUCCCGGUGUAGCGGUGAAAUGCGUAGAUAUCGAGAGGAACACCUGCGGCGAAGGCGGGUUGCUGGGCUGACACUGACGCUGAGGCGCGAAAGCUAGGGGAGCGAACGGG
rnacentral:rRNA from 1 species